GAAAGUUCCAAAUGGUAAAUUCCUUUCAGGGGUGGGGGCUGAGAGAGGAAAAUGGGUUGAAGUCAAAGUGAUGGAAGAUAUCCAAGUGGAAAUUUCCAGCUGCUUUAGCUUGCGCAUACUUUUACUGGGAAAUACAAAUCUACACUCAGAAUUCUUGCGAAAUGGUCAUACAAGGAUACAGCAUAGAAUGUGCUAGUGUCAAAGAGUGAUGCUGUCCAUGGAACAGCCCUUAGACAAACCCACAGAAGACAUCUUCCACACAAGUACAGAGUUGCCAGCAUUUGCUGGGCUAGCAUCUGAAGUCUGUUUCUGUGGAUACUGCAUUUUCAAAAUCAAUCCUAGAGAUUCUCAAAUUGCUUUUCCAGUUGACUGAUACACCCUUGCUUCCUGCAGGAGCAACCCCAAAGAGGAUUUGGAAUAAUGUUACCCACAUAUCGAAAGAUUCACAAUAAAUCCUCACAGCUUAAGAAGGACUUGAAAAUAGGUUCGCUUUUCUUUCAGGGACUCGGUAUUUGCCACAUCACGGAUAUUUCUAUUAUUUGACAUUAUUGAACAUUUAAAAGGCUGAGGAGUAAGAGACUAGACCAUCAAAUAUCACUUAAUAGAUUGCUAAGAGUAACAGUGAUGACUUAGAAGAAUAUGGUGUGGAACAAAUAUGACAAAAAGUAAGAGGCAGAAUAAGUAUAGUUAUAUGCUGAUGAAUCCAGCAGAACUGGUUGAAAAACUGUUGGUGUUUACCUUGUGCACAAUGACAAACAACUGACUUAGUUUGUUUCUUUGAAUUGAUUAUAUUGACAAGAGUAAUCAUUCUGGUAUUAUAAAGGGGUAGCCUGAAAAUAGUUAAAAAUAUAGUAAAUAAUACAGUGAAAAAAAUAGCUGAAACGUAGUUAAAAAUCAUUACGUAUGUAGAAAAUGUGCAGCUCUGCUGCCUAGGCUGGGCCGGGGUGAAGAUAGCAACUAAAUGCUAGACUUGAAAUUUUACAUUUGCAUUUAUUGUGCAAGGAUUUUUAGAUUCAAAUAGCACUUUCAUCUGAUUUUGCUAAGUCAGAGUCAGACUAGGGGAAAAGGUGGUCAUUUGGUCAGUGUCAGAAAAAUUUAGGCCAUGAAUCAGAGUGAACAUAGAAAGGCAUGUGACAAAGCCCCUGGAGAGAAUUCUACCUUAGAUAUCUUAGAUCCUUAGUUAAUACUCUCAUUCCUAAUAAUAGCAAUAGAAGUAGUGAUAACAAAAGUAAUCAUACAAAUGUCAGGAACCACACCGAACAAGAGCUGAUGAGCAGACCAGUGCUGGACUGUGCCAGUGUUUUCAUCUAGCCAUAGAGAAAUUGAAAAGAUGAAAAGAACAAAUUAAGACAAUGUGAUGAGUUUUACAUAAAGCUUAAUUUAUUAAAUUUAAGAAACUACCCUUUAUUCUGAGAUUAUAUGCAUGUUAUUAACAUGAAUUUCCUUGUAAUGACAUAAUGGUGAUGAUUGAAGUUUUUCCUUAAAUGUCUAUCUGAGCCAAAUAAAGAUU
rnacentral:lncRNA from 1 species